rnacentral:rRNA from 1 species
GAUGAACGCUGGCGGCGUGCUUAACACAUGCAAGUCGAACGGGAAACCUUUUAUUGAAGCUUCGGCAGAUUUAGCUGGUUUCUAGUGGCGGACGGGUGAGUAACGCGUGGGUAACCUGCCUUAUACAGGGGGAUAACAACCAGAAAUGGUUGCUAAUACCGCAUAAGCGCACAGGACCGCAUGGUCCGGUGUGAAAAACUCCGGUGGUAUAAGAUGGACCCGCGUUGGAUUAGCUAGUUGGCAGGGUAACGGCCUACCAAGGCGACGAUCCAUAGCCGGCCUGAGAAGGUGAACGGCCACAUUGGGACUGAGGCACGGCCCAGACUCCUACGGGAGGCAGCAGUGGGGAAUAUUGCACAAUGGGGGAAACCCUGAUGCAGCGACGCCGCGUGAAGGAAGAAGUAUCUCGGUAUGUAAACUUCUAUCAGCAGGGAAGAUAGUGACGGUAACUGACUAAGAAGCCCCGGCUAACUACGUG